rnacentral:rRNA from 1 species
AGUGAACGCUGGCGGUAGGCCUAACACAUGCAAGUCGAACGGCAGCACAGUAAGAGCUUGCUCUUACGGGUGGCGAGUGGCGGACGGGUGAGGAAUACAUCGGAAUCUACUUUUUCGUGGGGGAUAACGUAGGGAAACUUACGCUAAUACCGCAUACGACCUACGGGUGAAAGCAGGGGAUCUUCGGACCUUGCGCGAUUGAAUGAGCCGAUGUCGGAUUAGCUAGUUGGCGGGGUAAAGGCCCACCAAGGCGACGAUCCGUAGCUGGUCUGAGAGGAUGAUCAGCCACACUGGAACUGAGACACGGUCCAGACUCCUACGGGAGGCAGCAGUGGGGAAUAUUGGACAAUGGGCGCAAGCCUGAUCUAGCCAUACCGCGUGGGUGAAGAAGGCCUUCGGGUUGUUAAGCCCUUUUGUUGGGAAAGAAAAGCAGCAGGUUAAUACCCCGCUGUUCUGACGGUACCCAAAGAAUAAGUACCGGCUAACUUCGUG